ensembl:lncRNA
AGGGGGUGGAGUCUGUUCCUAUGGGGACCAGGCUGAAGAGGGGGUGGAGUCUGUUCCUAUGGGGACCAGGCUGAAAAGGCAGUGCGUGAGGGGGUGGAGUCUGUUCCUAUGGGGACCAGGCUGAAGAGGGGGUGGAGUCUGUUCCUAUGGGGACCAGGCUGAAGAGGGGGUGGAGUAUGUUCCUAUGGGGACCAGGCUGAAAAGGUGGUGUGUGAGGGGGUGGAGUCUGUUCCUAUGGGGACCAGGCUGAAAAGGAGGUGUGUGAGUUGAUGGAGUAUGUUCCUAUGGGGACCAGGCUGAAAAGGUGGUGUAUGAGGGGUGGAGUCUGUUUCUAUGGGGACCAGGCUGAAAAGGAGGUGUGUGAGUUGAUGGAGUCUGUUCCUAUGGGACCAGGCUGAAGAGGGGGUGGAGUCAGUUCCUAUGGGGAUCAGGCUGAAAAGGUGGUGUGUGAGGGGGUGGAGUCUGUUCCUAUGGGGACCAGGCUGAAAAGGCGGUGUGUGAGGAGGUGGAGUCUACCAAUGGGGACCAGGCUGAAAAGGAGGUGGAGUCAGUUCCUAUGGGGACCAGGCUGAAGAGGGGGUGGAGUCUGUUCCUAUGGGGACCAGGCUGAAAGGGGGGGUGGAGUCUGUUCCUAUGGGGACCAGGUUGAAAAGGCUGUGUGUGAGGGGGUGGAGUCUGGUCCUAAGGGGACCAGGCUGAAGAGGGGGUGGAGUCUGUUCCUAUGGGGACCAGGCUG